rnacentral:lncRNA from 1 species
AUAUUUUUUCGUUUUGAGCAAUUUAAUUUUUUUUCUUUUAUGUUCUUUUAACUUUCUUUUUUUCUUUUAUUUUCCUUUCUCUUCUGCUUAUCCCUUUGUUUUCCUCCUUUCUCUAUAUCUUUUAGUGUAAUUUUUCUAUAUUUUCCAUUUGUUAAAACUAGUCCUUAUACUUUUAUUUUUUUUGAACAAUUUAAUUUUUUUCUUUAUUUUCUUUUUCUUC